AAUGAAUCACAUGACUGGCGGAAGUGGAAUUAACCACAUGGAGUGUGAUUCGAAGAUAUGCCGACCGCCUGGGCGAUAAGU
rfam:Clostridium caminithermale DSM 15212 genome assembly, contig: EJ27DRAFT_scaffold00012.12